CAGCCGCCGCGGGAAUACGAAGGGUGCAAGCGUUACUCGGAAUUACUGGGCGUAAAGCGUGCGUAGGUGGUGGUUUAAGUCCGUUGUGAAAGCCCUGGGCUCAACCUGGGAAUUGCAGUGGAUACUGGGUCACUAGAGUGUGGUAGAGGAUAGUGGAAUUUCCGGUGUAGCAGUGAAAUGCGUAGAGAUCGGAAGGAACAUCUGUGGCGAAGGCGACUAUCUGGGCCAACACUGACACUGAGGCACGAAAGCGUGGGGAGCAAACAGGAUUAGAGACCCGGGUAGUCCCUGUCUCUUAUAC
rnacentral:rRNA from 1 species